rnacentral:rRNA from 1 species
CCUACGGGAGGCUGCAGUGGGGAAUAUUGGACAAUGGGGGGAACCCUGAUCCAGCCAUGCCGCGUGUGUGAAGAAGGCCCUCGGGUUGUAAAGCACUUUCAGUGAGGAAGAACGCCUGGUGGUUAAUACCCAUCAGGAAAGACAUCACUCACAGAAGAAGCACCGGCUAACUCCGUGCCAGCAGCCGCGGUAAUACGGAGGGUGCGAGCGUUAAUCGGAAUUACUGGGCGUAAAGCGCGCGUAGGUGGCUUGAUAAGCCGGUUGUGAAAGCCCCUGGCUCAACCUGGGAACGGCAUCCGGAACUGUCAAGCUAGAGUGCAGGAGAGGAAGGUAGAAUUCCCGGUGUAGCGGUGAAAUGCGUAGAGAUCGGGAGGAAUACCAGUGGCGAAGGCGGCCUUCUGGACUGACACUGACACUGAGGUGCGAAAGCGUGGGUAGCAAACAGGAUUAGAUACCCGAGUAGUC